UACGUAGGGUGCGAGCGUUGUCCGGAAUUAUUGGGCGUAAAGAGCUCGUAGGCGGUUUGUUGCGUCUAUCGUGAAAACCUGCAGCUUAACUGUGGGCUUGCGGUGGAUACGGGCAGACUUGAGUUCGGUAGGGGAGACUGGAAUUCCUGGUGUAGCGGUGAAAUGCGCAGAUAUCAGGAGGAACACCGGUGGCGAAGGCGGGUCUCUGGACAGUUCCUGACGCUGAGGCACGAAGGCCAGGGGAGCAAACGGG
rnacentral:rRNA from 1 species